UUGACAGCUGUGGAGUUUGAACUCCUGUAUUGAUGAAUCAAGAAAAUGAAUAUUGUAUUGAGAGUAGUAAUGUAAGCUUCCUUAUACUGUCCCAUCAAUGUAUCUCAAUCCUGACCUGAAGGGGACUGCUUCUAGGGAUGGGAAAAGUUCAGGCUCAUUAUCUAUUCAUCUCUUACCCUUU
rnacentral:sRNA from 1 species